rnacentral:rRNA from 1 species
CAGGACGAACGCUGGCGGCGUGCUUAAUACAUGCAAGUCAACUUGACUUUAGAUAGCAAUAUCGAAAGUAGGGUGGCGCACGGGUGCGUAACGCGUAGGUAAUCUGCCCUGAGGUCUGACAUAACCCGUCGAAAGGCGGGCUAACAUCAGAUGAUAUAUAAUCACGACAUCGUGGAAAUAUCAAAUCUUCGGAGCCUUGGGAUGAGCCUGCGUCUGAUUAGGUAGUUGGCGGAGUAAUAGCCCACCAAGCCUACGAUCAGUAGCUGGUCUGAGAGGAUGAUCAGCCACACUGGAACUGAGACACGGUCCAGACUCCUACGGGAGGCAGCAGUAAGGAAUAUUGCUCAAUGGGGGAAACCCUGAAGCAGCAACGCCGCGUGAAGGAUGAAAUACUUUGUAUGUAAACUUCUGUAAGAUGGGAAAAAUAUUCUCCUCGGGAGAAUUGAUUGUACCAUCAGAGUAAGCCCCGGCUAACUACGUG